rnacentral:misc_RNA from 1 species
GAUGAAGAACGUAGCGAAAUGCGAUAAGUAAUGUGAAUUGCAGAAUUCAGUGAAUCAUCGAAUCUUUGAACGCACCUUGCACUCCUUGGUAUUCCGAGGAGUAUGCCUGUUUGAGUGUCAUGAAAUUAUCAACUUCAUAGUUUUAUUACUUUGAAGCUUGGAUUUGGAAGCUUGCUGGCUCUCUGGGUCGGCUCCUCUUAAAUGUAUUAGCUGCUUGUCCGCAGAUUGGCUCAGAGUGUGAUAAGUAUCUACACUUGGUGGCUGCUUGCUUGGAUGUGGCUUCUAAUCGUCUUCGGACAACUCUUUAAGAUCUGACCUCAAAUCAGGUAGGACUACCCGCUGAACUUAAGCAUAUCAAUAAGCGGAGGA